AUUGAACGCUGGCGGCAGGCCUAACACAUGCAAGUCGAGCGGAUGACGGGAGCUUGCUCCUUGAUUCAGCGGCGGACGGGUGAGUAAUGCCUAGGAAUCUGCCUGGUAGUGGGGGACAACGUUUCGAAAGGAACGCUAAUACCGCAUACGUCCUACGGGAGAAAGCAGGGGACCUUCGGGCCUUGCGCUAUCAGAUGAGCCUAGGUCGGAUUAGCUUGUUGGUGAGGUAAUGGCUCACCAAGGCAACGAUCCGUAACUGGUCUGCGAGGAUGAUCAGUCACACUGGAACUGAGACACGGUCCAGACUCCUACGGGAGGCAGCAGUGGGGAAUAUUGGACAAUGGGCGAAAGCCUGAUUCAGCCAUGCCGCGUGUGUGAAGAAGGUCUUCGGAUUGUAAAGCACUUUAAGUUGGGAGGAAGGGUUGUAGAUUAAUACUCUGCAAUUUUGACGUUACCGACAGAGUAAGCACCGGCUAACUCUGUGCCAGCCGCCGCCGUAACAC
rnacentral:rRNA from 1 species